GUAGUCAUAUGCUUGUCUCAAAGAUUAAGCCAUGCAUGUCUAAGUACAUACUUUUGCACGGUGAAACCGCGAAUGGCUCAUUAAAUCAGUUAUGGUUCCUUAGAUCGUUCAUAUUACAUGGAUAACUGUGGUAAUUCUAGAGCUAAUACAUGCAAAAAGCUCCGACCGUAUGGGAAGAGCGCUUUUAUUAGACCAAAACCAAUGGGAUCGCAAGAUCCCUUUGUCUGGUGACUCUGGAUAACUUUGUGCUGAUCGCAUGGCCUAGAGCCGGCGACGUAUCUUUCAAGUGUCUGCCCUAUCAACUUUCGAUGGUAAGCGAUUUGCCUACCAUGGUUGCAACGGGUAACGGGGAAUGA
rnacentral:rRNA from 1 species